UAGGGAAUCUUCGGCAAUGGACGAAAGUCUGACCGAGCAACGCCGCGUGAGUGAAGAAGGUUUUCGGAUCGUAAAACUCUUUUGUUAGAGAAGAACAAGUACGUUAGUAACUGAACGUCCCCUGACGGUAUCUAACCAGAAAGCCACGGCUAACUACGUGCCAGCAGCCGCGGUAAUACGUAGGUGGCAAGCGUUGUCCGGAUUUAUUGGGCGUAAAGCGAGCGCAGGCGGUUUCUUAAGUCUGAUGUGAAAGCCCCCGGCUCAACCGGGGAGGGUCAUUGGAAACUGGGAGACUUGAGUGCAGAAGAGGAGAGUGGAAUUCCAUGUGUAGCGGUGAAAUGCGUAGAUAUAUGGAGGAACACCAGUGGCGAAGGCGGCUCUCUGGUCUGUAACUGACGCUGAGGCUCGAAAGCGUGGGGAGCAAACAGG
rnacentral:rRNA from 1 species